rnacentral:sRNA from 1 species
GCCAGGCAUGAUGGCACAUGCCUGUAGUCCCAGUGGCUCAGGAGGCUGAGACAGGAGAAUCGCGAGUUCAAAGCCAGCCUCAGCAAGAGUGAGGCUCUAAGCAACUCAGUGAGACGCUGUCUCUA